rnacentral:rRNA from 1 species
GAUGAACGCUGGCGGCACGCUUAACACAUGCAAGUCGAACGAUUAAAGCACCUUCGGGUGUGUAUAGAGUGGCGAACGGCUGAGUAACACGUGGGCAACCUGCCCUUCAGUUCGGAAUAGCUACGGGAAACCGUGGGUAAUACCGGAUGAUCCACCUCCCUCGCAUGAAGGAGGUGGCAAAGAUUUAUCGCUGAAGGAUGGGCCCGCGGCCUGUUAGCUUGUUGAUGAGGUAACGGCUCACCAAGGCAGUAAUGGGUAGCCGGGUUGAGAGACCGACCGGCCAGAUUGGGACUGAGACACGGCCCAGACUCCUACGGGAGGCAGCAGUGGGGAAUCUUGCGCAAUGGGCGAAAGCCUGACGCAGCGAUGCCGCGUGCGGGAUGAAGGCCUUCGGGUCGUAAACCGCUUUCAGCAGGGACGAGGCCGCAAGGUGACGGUACCUGCAGAAGAAGCCCCGGCUAACUACGUGCCAGCAGCCGCGGUAAUACGUAGGGGGCGAGCGUUAUCCGGAUUCAUUGGGCGUAAAGCGCGCGUAGGCGGCCUGUUAGGUCAAGAGUUAAAUCCGGGGGCUCAACCCCCGUCCGCUCCUGAUACCGGCAGGCUUGAGUCUGGUAGGGGAAGGCGGAAUUCCAAGUGUAGCGGUGGAAUGCGCAGAUAUUUGGAAGAACACCGGUGGCGAAGGCGGCCUUCUGGGCCACGACUGACGCUGAGGCGCGAAAGCUAGGGGAGCAAACAGG